UGUCUUAUAUAUUUUCACAGAGAGAGAGAGAGAGAGAGGGGGAGAGAGGGUAGGUUUGCGGAGUAGUAAUGGAGGGUGGGCUACUGCAGGGACCAUACGAUGCCACAGUGCGGCUGAUGCUAGCUUCAUUGGAGCGCAAUCUGCUACCGGACGCUGUAAUCCGGAGGCUCACGCGGCUGCUUUUGGCCGGCCGCCUUCGCUCCGAGUACAAGCCAUCUUCUGAGCUCCAACUCUCCCACCUCCUUCAAUUCGUGCAGUCUCUAAGAGAGAUGCCCAUAGCUAUCAAGACUGACGAGCCAAAGGCUCAACAUUAUGAACUACCAACCUCCUUCUUCGAGUUGGUCCUUGGAAAGAAUCUUAAAUAUAGUUGUUGCUACUUCUCUGACAAGUCAAAAACUCUGGAGGAUGCUGAAGAAGCAAUGCUGGAACUCUACUGUGAGAGGUCACAGUUAAAAGAUGGUCAUUCUGUUCUUGAUGUUGGAUGUGGCUGGGGAUCACUCUCUUUAUACAUCGCAAAUAAGUAUAGAAACUGCAAGGUUACAGGGAUUUGUAAUUCAACAACCCAGAAAGCAUUUAUUGAGAAGCAGUGUGGGGAUCGUCAGCUGCAAAAUUUGGAGAUCAUUGUUGCAGAUAUUAGCACAUUUGGAAUGGAAACAUCCUAUGACCGAAUAUUUUCCAUCGAGAUGUUUGAGCAUAUGAAGAAUUAUAAGGAUCUUCUGAAGAAGAUAUCCAAGUGGAUGAAACAGGACAGCCUUCUGUUUGUUCACCAUUUUUGCCACAAAGCAUUUGCCUACCACUUUGAGGACAUAAAUGAAGAUGACUGGAUUACUAGAUACUUCUUCACUGGAGGAACAAUGCCUUCAGCAAAUCUGCUUCUUUAUUUUCAAGACGAUGUGUCUGUUGUUGAUCAUUGGCUUGUGAAUGGAAAGCACUAUGCACAGACAAGUGAAGAGUGGCUUAAAAGAAUGGACAAGAACUCAACCUCCAUAAAGCCAAUAAUGGAAUCAACAUACGGCAAGGAUUCUGCUGUCAAGUGGACCGUCUACUGGAGAACAUUCUUCAUUGCUGUCGCAGAACUCUUUGGGUACAGUAAUGGAGAAGAAUGGAUGGUUGCACUUUUCUUAUUCAAAAAGAAAUAAAAAACCAGAAGCCAAAGCUCCUCAGUCCUUCCAGUUGAUUUACUUCUCCUAGUCUUUAUAAACUUGAAGUCCGUGUCUGAUCCCUUCCACCAGUUUAAGUGCAUAUGACUGACCAUAUGUACGUAGUGGCAGUUAGAGCUGCAUCUCUGUGUCAUAUCCGGCGACUUCUAUCAUUUGUAAUCUUCUAUGGCCUGACUGGAGCUAUUUGUCUGCGUUCCAUUGUGACAAGCCCUGAAGUUGUCUUGCAAAGUUUGUGCAUAAAAAGUCAUUGGGCCGUGAUCAUGAUGAAUUGCCUUGCCCCCUUUAAAUGAAGCAAAUGAACAGGCUAAUGGAUAUUGUAGAGAUGAAAGAUCAAGAUAUGAAACCUUUGUUCUUUUGAAGGGUGUGGAUUGGCAUUGGUUUCUGCUAUCGAGUUUUCCAUAAAAGUCAAUGAAGCCUUUCAUUCAAAAUUAUGUUGUAUAAUGUCGAGGUUUGUUAUGAGGAACUCUUUUGAUCAUGAGCCAACUCUUUCAUUUCCAUUAUUGAUUGCAAGCCAAUUCUGCAUACUCAUCCUGUUUAUAAACCAGAGACUGACCAACUAGAUUUAAACGUUAGUUGGGGUUCCCCUCUAA